CAUACGACUCUCGGCAACGGAUAUCUCGGCUCUCGCAUCGAUGAAGAACGUAGCGAAAUGCGAUACUUGGUGUGAAUUGCAGAAUCCCGUGAACCAUCGAGUCUUUGAACGCAAGUUGCGCCCGAGGCCUUCCGGCCGAGGGCACGCCUGCCUGGGCGUCACGCA
rnacentral:rRNA from 1 species